CUGCAUGUUGAGAAGUUGUUAGAGCGAUUGAGACAAUUGGCAAACUGAUGUCCUUUCUGCUAUUUUGCUGACGUUUAUAUACCGCAGAACAACACCCUGCACUUUUCUUUUAUCAGGUGCCUUUUACCAACUUCUAAUAAGGACCAUAUCCGUUUGUUCCUAAAUUUACUGAAGAAAGGAAAAGUGCUUUCGUUUGACCUGCAGUUUGAUUUUCGCAACGGUCAAAUGAAAAGGGUUGCAACAUCGGGGCUUUCCCCACAACGUUUUAAAUAACGGACUUUCAAACAAAUGUAGUCCAAAAUUUGAAAUUUAUCGCAGGAAAAAUGAACGUAUCUCAUGCCAAUUGAAUCGAGCGGUGUCUUGGUGGCCUAAAGGAUAAGGCAACUGCACCCUAUGUCGGGGAUUGCGGGUUCAAGUCCCGCAAGAGGUAUGCAUGAAUGUUCUACACAGAAUAAUUGAUAUUGUCUGAAAUGAAGAGAAGAGAAGUCGAUACCGCGUUAAUAUAACGGAAAAACCGCAGUAGAUGUCCAUUCCCUGAAAACACUUGGCAUGGUGUUCAUUUUGACUUUGACCGCUCAAUAAGCUUUAAUGAGAUGCCAAGUGCACGUAUUGCUCAUCCAUAAUAGGCCAUUUAAAUUAUUGAAUAGCUACUGUGGCUUAAAGGAUAAGGUACCGGACUCCUAAGCCGGGGAUUGCGGGUUCGAGUCCUGCCAGAAGUACGACAUGAAAUAAGAUCAAAUAAUAUAUUGGUAUCUCAACCCAAAGAUUACCAGGUGGAGUACCAAACCUUCAAAUUGCCUCAAGGAUAAGGCACCGAUAUUCUAAGCUGGGGAUUGCUGUUGCUAAUAUCGCCAGAGAUCACGAGAUAACCGGAGAUCUACAUUUUCAAAAUGUAUGGCGCUUAGUAGUCGCGAGCAACGUUACCGGAAGUUACGCGGACGGAUCCAGUGCCCGGACCAGUGCCGAUCUGGGAAACACGGCCAAAAGCGGAGUCAUCAGAUGUAAAUACUGGUGCGGAGUAAGUGCGGGAAACUGCGGCAGGUCCGCCGACCGAAGACGAGGUGAAUACGGUAGAUGAGGACGCAGGAGAAGUGAAGACCGGUGAGGAAUAAGUGCGGGAGGAAGCGCUUGGAGCCGUGACAGAGGAAGAGGUGAGAACUGGGCCGGAAUAAGUACGCGAGUUGGCUCCCGAAGUGCGGCCAGCAGAUGAAACGAAGACCGGUGCGGAAUAAGUGCGCGAAUUAGCACCCGGGGCGGUAACAGAUGAAGUGGUUAAAACGCGAGCAGGAGCAACAGGACCGGUAAAAACUGGUGCGGAGUAAGUACGAGAUGAUACAGCUGGAGCAGUGACACCUUGAGAGGUAAAUACAGGUGCGGAGUAAGCCUGGCCGGUGUAGGCGGAUGGAGCGGGGUAUUUGGCCUCGCCUUCGUAUUUCACAUCAGCGGUGUAUCCGUAGCUGUCAGCCUUGUAGGUGACGAUUUGAACACGACCAUCGGGAAGGAGGACGCGAUAACUGCCGGUGGUUACUUGGCUAUCGCUGCUCUCAUAGUGGCCGUAGUCGUUGCCGUAACCAUCGUAGACAGCCCAGUUGAAUGAAUACGGCUGAGCAGGCUAUUGUAUGAACAAUUGUUUAUUUAGAAAUUGCGUGGACUUUAUAAAAGAAAAACGAAUUGGACUUACGUAUUGUUUGACGUCGUACGUUGAAGGUGAAUAAGAACGAAAAUUGGAAGCGGAAUUUGAAUUUGAAGAAAUUUGGCCAAGGUAAUCGGAAUUGGCUGCGGCGACAGCGAUCAAGGCGGUGAGUACGACGAACUUGAUAAUUGGAAAAUGUAUUUGAUUAGAAUUAAACAAAAUUUUAAACCGCUUGAAUGCACAGAUAAUUUUACCUGCAUGUUGAGGAGUUGAUAGAGCGAUUGAGACAGUUGGCUAACUGAUGUCCUUUCUGCUAUUUUGCUGGCCUUUAUAUACCGCAGAGCAACGCCCUGUGCUUUUCUUUUUUCAGGUACCUUUUACCAAGUUCUAAUAAGGCACAUAUCCGACUGUUCCAAAAUUGAUUGAAGAAAGGAAAAGUGGUUGCGUGUGACCUGCUGUUUGAUCUUUGCACCGGUCAAAUGAAAAGGGCUCCAACAUCGGGGCUUUCCCUACAGUGUUCUACAUU